rnacentral:rRNA from 1 species
GUACACGCUGUGACUAGCAUAUCAAUAAGCGGAGGAAAAGAAACUAACAAGGAUUCCCUCAGUAACGGCGAGUGAAGCGGGAAGAGCUCAAAUUUGAAAUCUUCAAGGUUUUACCUUGACGAAUUGUAGUUUAAAGAAGUGUUUUCUGCUGAAGUUUUGGUAAAAGUUCUUUGGAAUAGGACAUCAUAGAGGGUGAGAAUCCCGUAUUUGACCAUUAUUUUCAGCUUUGUGAUACACUUUCAAAGAGUCGGAUUGUUUGGGAAUGCAGUCCAAAAUGGGUGGUAAAUUUCAUCUAAAGCUAAAUAUUGGCGAGAGACCGAUAGCGAACAAGUACCGUGAGGGAAAGAUGAAAAGAACUUUGAAAAGAGAGUUAAACAGUACGUGAAAUUGUCAAAAGGGAAGCGUUUGACACCAGUGUUGUUUUCUCGAAAAUCAAUUAAAAAUGGCUCGAUUUUGUAUUGCUGAGACCUUAAAAGCUCACUGUACAUUUUUCGUGUCUUUUUUAAUGCACUUUUCGUUUAACAAGUCAACAUCAGUUUCUUUUGUUGUAAAAGGGUCAUUGGAAGGUGGCUUUCUUUUCGGAGAAAGUGUUUAUAGCCUUUGGCCUCUGCAAUCGGAGGAGACUGAGGUCUGCAGCGUAGACUCUUCGGGGUUAGAUACAUUUGUGCUAAGUUAUAGCUUUUUAUAGACAACUUGUUGACUAUAAUUAGUCUUGUAGCUUACUCGCUUAUGCUAUUUUACCUACGCUUAGGAUGUUGAGUAGCGACAUACGCAC